GGGUUGUGAGGUUAAGCGACUAAGCGUACACGGUGGAUGCCCUGGCAGUCAGAGGCGAUGAAGGACGUGCUAAUCUGCGAUAAGCGCCGGUAAGGUGAUAUGAACCGUUAUAACCGGCGAUUUCCGAAUGGGGAAACCCAGUGUGAUUCGUCACACUAUCAUUAACUGAAUCCAUAGGUUAAUGAGGCGAACCGGGGGAACUGAAACAUCUAAGUACCCCGAGGAAAAGAAAUCAACCGAGAUUCCCCCAGUAGCGGCGAGCGAACGGGGAGGAGCCCAGAGCCUGAAUCAGCAUGUGUGUUAGUGGAAGCGUCUGGAAAGGUGCGCGAUACAGGGUGACAGCCCCGUACACAAAAGCGCAUGUGCUGUGAGCUCGAUGAGUAGGGCGGGACACGUGGUAUCCUGUCUGAAUAUGGGGGGACCAUCCUCCAAGGCUAAAUACUCCUGACUGACCGAUAGUGAACCAGUACCGUGAGGGAAAGGCGAAAAGAACCCCGGCGAGGGGAGUGAAAAAGAACCUGAAACCGUGUACGUACAAGCAGUGGGAGCACCCUUCGGGGUGUGACUGCGUACCUUUUGUAUAAUGGGUCAGCGACUUAUAUUCUGUAGCAAGGUUAACCGUAUAGGGGAGCCGUAGGGAAACCGAGUCUUAACCGGGCGUUAAGUUGCAGGGUAUAGACCCGAAACCCGGUGAUCUAGCCAUGGGCAGGUUGAAGGUUGGGUAACACUAACUGGAGGACCGAACCGACUAAUGUUGAAAAAUUAGCGGAUGACCUGUGGCUGGGGGUGAAAGGCCAAUCAAACCGGGAGAUAGCUGGUUCUCCCCGAAAGCUAUUUAGGUAGCGCCUCGUGAAUUCAUCUCCGGGGGUAGAGCACUGUUUCGGCUAGGGGGCCAUCCCGGCUUACCAACCCGAUGCAAACUGCGAAUACCGGAGAAUGUUAUCACGGGAGACACACGGCGGGUGCUAACGUCCGUCGUGAAGAGGGAAACAACCCAGACCGCCAGCUAAGGUCCCAAAGUCAUGGUUAAGUGGGAAACGAUGUGGGAAGGCCCAGACAGCCAGGAUGUUGGCUUAGAAGCAGCCAUCAUUUAAAGAAAGCGUAAUAGCUCACUGGUCGAGUCGGCCUGCGCGGAAGAUGUAACGGGGCUAAACCAUGCACCGAAGCUGCGGCAGCGAACGUAUCACCCAAGACAACUUUACGGAGUUGACGAUUGACGGAGCGAAGCGACGUCAAAGCGUUCAUUAAAGUCGAGUUGGCUUAGGGAUACGUUCGUUGGGUAGGGGAGCGUUCUGUAAGCCUGUGAAGGUGUGUCGUGAGGCAUGCUGGAGGUAUCAGAAGUGCGAAUGCUGACAUAAGUAACGAUAAAGCGGGUGAAAAGCCCGCUCGCCGGAAGACCAAGGGUUCCUGUCCAACGUUAAUCGGGGCAGGGUGAGUCGACCCCUAAGGCGAGGCCGAAAGGCGUAGUCGAUGGGAAACGGGUUAAUAUUCCCGUACUUGGUGUUACUGCGAAGGGGGGACGGAGAAGGCUAUGUUGGCCGGGCGACGGUUGUCCCGGUUUAAGCGUGUAGGUGUGUGUUCCAGGUAAAUCCGGUUCACUUUAACACUGAGGCGUGACGACGAGGCACUACGGUGCUGAAGCAACAAAUGCCCUGCUUCCAGGAAAAGCCUCUAAGCAUCAGGUAACACGAAAUCGUACCCCAAACCGACACAGGUGGUCAGGUAGAGAAUACCAAGGCGCUUGAGAGAACUCGGGUGAAGGAACUAGGCAAAAUGGUGCCGUAACUUCGGGAGAAGGCACGCUGACACGUAGGUGAAGUGAUUUACUCAUGGAGCUGAAGUCAGUCGAAGAUACCAGCUGGCUGCAACUGUUUAUUAAAAACACAGCACUGUGCAAACACGAAAGUGGACGUAUACGGUGUGACGCCUGCCCGGUGCCGGAAGGUUAAUUGAUGGGGUCAGCGCAAGCGAAGCUCCUGAUCGAAGCCCCGGUAAACGGCGGCCGUAACUAUAACGGUCCUAAGGUAGCGAAAUUCCUUGUCGGGUAAGUUCCGACCUGCACGAAUGGCGUAAUGAUGGCCAGGCUGUCUCCACCCGAGACUCAGUGAAAUUGAACUCGCUGUGAAGAUGCAGUGUACCCGCGGCAAGACGGAAAGACCCCGUGAACCUUUACUAUAGCUUGACACUGAACAUUGAGCCUUGAUGUGUAGGAUAGGUGGGAGGCUUUGAAGUGUGGACGCCAGUCUGCAUGGAGCCGACCUUGAAAUACCACCCUUUAAUGUUUGAUGUUCUAACGUGGACCCGUAAUCCGGGUUGCGGACAGUGUCUGGUGGGUAGUUUGACUGGGGCGGUCUCCUCCUAAAGAGUAACGGAGGAGCACGAAGGUUGGCUAAUCCUGGUCGGACAUCAGGAGGUUAGUGCAAUGGCAUAAGCCAGCUUGACUGCGAGCGUGACGGCGCGAGCAGGUGCGAAAGCAGGUCAUAGUGAUCCGGUGGUUCUGAAUGGAAGGGCCAUCGCUCAACGGAUAAAAGGUACUCCGGGGAUAACAGGCUGAUACCGCCCAAGAGUUCAUAUCGACGGCGGUGUUUGGCACCUCGAUGUCGGCUCAUCACAUCCUGGGGCUGAAGUAGGUCCCAAGGGUAUGGCUGUUCGCCAUUUAAAGUGGUACGCGAGCUGGGUUUAGAACGUCGUGAGACAGUUCGGUCCCUAUCUGCCGUGGGCGCUGGAGAACUGAGGGGGGCUGCUCCUAGUACGAGAGGACCGGAGUGGACGCAUCACUGGUGUUCGGGUUGUCAUGCCAAUGGCACUGCCCGGUAGCUAAAUGCGGAAGAGAUAAGUGCUGAAAGCAUCUAAGCACGAAACUUGCCCCGAGAUGAGUUCUCCCUGAGACUUAGAGUCUCCUGAAGGAACGUUGAAGACG
rnacentral:rRNA from 1 species